AUUGAACGCUGGCGGCAGGCCUAACACAUGCAAGUCGAGCGGAUGAAGGGAGCUUGCUCCUGGAUUCAGCGGCGGACGGGUGAGUAAUGCCUAGGAAUCUGCCUGGUAGUGGGGGAUAACGUCCGGAAACGGGCGCUAAUACCGCAUACGUCCUGAGGGAGAAAGUGGGGGAUCUUCGGACCUCACGCUAUCAGAUGAGCCUAGGUCGGAUUAGCUAGUUGGUGGGGUAAAGGCCUACCAAGGCGACGAUCCGUAACUGGUCUGAGAGGAUGAUCAGUCACACUGGAACUUAGACACGGUCCUGGCUCCUACGGGAGGCAGCAGUGGGGAAUAUUGGACAAAGGGCGAAAGCCUGAUCCAGCCAUGCCGCGUGUGUGAAGAAGGUCUUCGGAUUGUAAAGCACUUUAAGUUGGGAGGAAGGGCAGUAAGUUAAUACCUUGCUGUUUUGACGUUACCAACAGAAUAAGCACCGGCUAACUUCGUG
rnacentral:rRNA from 1 species